GCCUGGGUGGCUCAGUCGGUUGAGCAUCCGACUUCGGCUCAGGUCACGAUCUCGCGGUCCGUGAGUUCGAGCCCCGCGUCAGGCU
rfam:Felis catus isolate Cinnamon breed Abyssinian chromosome X, whole genome shotgun sequence.